rnacentral:lncRNA from 1 species
AUGGAUUUGAUUGUUCUUUCCUCUUUGAAUCAAUUUCAAUGCAUGUAUAAGUAUUUUCUAUCUCCAACCUCUUUAUGCUUCCAGUGUAUUGGUGUUCUCUCCCACUCCCACCAUGCACUUCUUUAUGAUAUAUACAUUUACCCUAUUUUGUUUCUUUUCCCAUUUAUCUCAGUCUUAGCAUUUCAUCCUAUACAGUUUGUCACUCUUCCCUCUAAGUAUAAUACUUGUAGCUCCCCAGGUGAUAAUUACAAUUUUUUAGAGUUACCAAUAUCUUCUUUUCUUGUAGGGAUACAUAUCAUUUUAACUUAUUGGCUCCCUUAAAAAAAGUGUUGUUUUGUUUCCCCUUUCUUAACUAUCUUUUGGUGAUUUUCUUAAGUUCUGUGUUUGGGCAUCAAAUUUUCUCUUCAGGUCUGGUCUUUUCUUUAUGAAUGCUUGGACGUCUUCUAUUUUAUUAAAUGACUGUACUUUCUCCUGCAAGAAUUUAGUCAGUUUUGCUGGUAGUUAAUUCUUUGUUAUAGAACUAGUGCCCUUGCUUUCUGGAAUAUCAUAUUCCAUUUCUUUUGGUCCUUCAGUUAUAACAGAUACUGUGUUAUCCUAACUAUAGUUACAUAGUUUCUGAAUUAUUUCUUCUUAGUAGCUUAUAAUAUUUUUUUCCUUGGUCUGGUAGUUCUUGAAUUUGACCAUAACAUUCCUGGGUAUUGUCAGUUGGGGAUAAAGUAUAGGAGGUGAUCUGUAGAUUCUUUUAAUCUCCACUUUCCUCUCUUGCUCUAGAAUGUCAGGGCAGUUUUCUUGGAUAAUUUCCUAUAGAAUGAUGUCUAGGCUUUUUCUUUUGUCAUAAUCUUCGAGCAGACCAAUGAUUCUUAAGUUGUCUCUCCUGGACCUAUUUUCUAGAUCUUCCAUUUUAUGGAUGAGGCAUUUCAUAUUUCCCUCAAUUUUUUCAUUCUUUUGAUUUUGUUUUAUAGUUUCCUGCUGCCUUGUAAAGUCUUUUGCUUCUACUUGUAUUCUAGUUUUUAAAGACUGAAUUUCAUCCCUGGCUUUUUGGUCAUCCUCCUUUUGGUCUGAUUUUCUUUGAAGGUCAUCUUUCUUCUUCUUUGCCACAUCUUUCAUUUACUUUGCAUCAUUUUCAAGUUGAUUAAUUUUGGCUUUCAAGACACUAUUUUCUAUUUCCAUAUGACUUAUUUUGCUUUUUAAGUUUUUUUCCCAGUUGUAUUCAGCUUCUUAAUGGUUUGAAUUAAAUACAUACAGAUACAUUUUUUUUGAAUUGUAUUUUGAGUUCUUCCAAAGCCUGUGUCCAAUUCGCUGAAGUUUCUGUGCUUUUGUUUGGUGUUCCUUGAUCUUCCUCUGUUUCAUUUUCUCUUUGUUCAUUGCCUGGAUAAAAGCUGUCAAUUGUAAUUUCUUUUUUCUUUUUCUGUUGUUUGCUCAUAUUUUCCUCUCUUUCCCCCCUGUAGCUGCAGUUUUGCUCCUCUAAUUAUGUGCUGGAUCUGUGAGUUUGGGCUGUUUUUUCCUGAAGGGGCUUCUUCUCUCUUCUGCUGUUUGAACAGGUAGUCUGGUCUUUUCUGGCUGACAGAAGAAGCUGUGAUUUCCUUAUAUUUUAAUUAUUAGGGAAGAAAGGAGAAAUCAUGUCGCAUCUUACUCCCCACCCUCCACCCAUAGAUAUCUAGCCAAAGUGAUAGGUCUCAAAAAAAGAGUCAGAUGUAUGGCAUGUAGCUGAAUUCAGGAGGGUGGCUUACUUUCAAGUAAACCAAUCUUCUGAUUAAAACUGACCUGCCCAAUGCUCAGGUAGAGUUAUGAGCUAAGUUGAAGUAAAGAUGUUCUUAAUGACUUAGACAUAGACAGGAAAGAUUCAGAAUUAAAUAGGAUAUAGAUGUCCUUGUCUUUGUCCUCCCCCCUUUUCCUUUUGCUCUCCCCUCCUUUCUCUCCCCUCUUGUUCCCCACUUCUCUUCCUUUUCUUCCUUCCUCUUCCCCACCUCUUCUUUCUUGUAUUCCUCCUCCUCUUCCUUCCCCAUACCCCUUCUCUUCCUCCUCCUCCUCCUCCUCAUCUAUAUGAAGGCUUAUUCCCUUUCCCCUACCUAGUCAGGACAACCAAUAUGCAGCCAGGCUCACCACUGGCUAUAUAAAAAUAGUCAUAGGGUAUAGUGAGUAGGAAAAGCACUGAAUGAAAUUUGAAAUCAUAGGUUCUUGAUUAAAUCCUUCUUCCACUUACUAGCAAUGUUACUUUCGGAAAGUCAUUUAAUCUUUCUUGGUCUUAGUUUUCUCAAAUGUAAAAUGAGAUGCAUAAACUGAAUGGCAUACAACCUCUAUAUGUAUGCUCUAAUGACCAAUGGACUCAUACAGGAAGGCACAAUCUUUCCUAAACUGAUUAUAUUCCAUUUGCUUUCACAGUCUGUCCCCAUACUUAGGUCCAAAAGAGGGAUAUUUGUUUUGUAUGUCCUUUUGUCAUCAAUGAUAAUAUCUCUGAGAUAAUAUCACUUAUAGUCUUACAAUGAAGAUUAGGGAGAAAAAAAAGCUAUAUGUGUGUCAUUUGAUCUAAUUCUUAAACUCUUAGAGACAGCUGAACUUAUAUUUCCUUCCAAACAAACAUGAUAUAUAACUGAUUGAAUCCAGUGUGCUAAGUAAGCCUUUCUUCCCCUAUUUAUUCAAUACACAGUCAUUAUGGUUAUUCAGAUUACCUUAAUCUAAUUGGUGUAUGGGCAAAGUAUAAUCAAAAUAUCGACUGAAACCCAAUAUUUGAAGAAAAGAAAUCCUCAAAUUGUAAGGGAACAUGAGUACUAAAUUAACAAAGUAUUUUAUUAAAUAUUUCAGAAUAAAGAAAAAUAACCUAAUUUCUGAUGAAGCA